rnacentral:antisense_RNA from 1 species
CCCGGACUUGAGCUAGUCACUUUAUUUUCUGGGCUUCAGUUUCCUCACUGGACAAGUAGGAAAGUCAUGCCUGUCUGGCUUAACUAGAGGGCCUGUGGUGAGGCAUAAACUGAAGAAGAAAGUCAAACCAUUUGGUGAACUGUCAAGCUCAAUUUCCCUCUUUAAGGAAGAAAGGAAAGUGUUUUCCUGGAUACCAGAUAUGCUGAGUUGGGACAGGAGCUAAGGACAGAGGUGAAGAAACCCACAGACAACAGCGACAUGCUCCUCAUCUUUGAAUCCCAGCGAACCUUUCCACUGUGUGUGUGUGCUGGAAUGCAGUUGCUGAUCACCUGCAGGCUUGAACUCCAGGGAUCAAGCGAUCCUCCUACUUCAGCCUCCUGAGCAGCUAGGACUACAGCACAUUAUGUUCCUGAAAACCAGGAACUGCUUCCUCCUGUCUGACCCACUGCAGUGGUGGAGAGGCUCAAGGGAAAUAAUGAUCAUGGAUGUGCUUAGGAGGCAUAAGAUUUUACUGAGAAUUGCUGUGAGCUGGGCACCCUUCUACGCUCUGCAGACACCAUGGCUAGUAAGACAGGCAAAGACCUGCCACCUGGAGCUUGUUUGGAUAUAGGGUAGGGGGACGGGGAGAAGGGAGAUAAACAAUAAACAAGUAAAUUUACACUC